rnacentral:rRNA from 1 species
ACUGCUCAGUAACACGUGGAUAACCUGCCCAAGGGUCUGGGAUAACCCCGGGAAACUGGGGAUAAUACCGGAUGGAUCACUAGUGCUGGAAUGCUUGGUGGUCGAAAGGCAACGCCUUUGGAUGGGUCUGCGGCGGAUUAGGUUGACGCCGGUGUAACGUACCGGCGUGCCUGUAAUCCGUACGGGUUGUGGGAGCAAGAGCCCGGAGAUGGAUUCUGAGACACGAAUCCAGGCCCUACGGGGCGCAGCAGGCGCGAAAACUCUACAAUGCAGGCAACUGCGAUAGGGGGACAUCGAGUGGCAUCCACCUUGGGUGCCUGUCCAACCGUCUAAAAAACGGUUGUUAGCAAGGGCCGGGUAAGACCGGUGCCAGCCGCCGCGGUAAUACCGGCGGCUCGAGUGGUGGCCGAUAUUAUUGAGUCUAAAGGGUCCGUAGCCGGCUUUGCAAGUCCCCUGGGAAAUCCAGCGGCUUAACCGUUGGGCUUUCAUGGGAUACUACAUUGCUUGGGACUGGGAGAGGUAGGAGGUACUCGGGGGGUAGGGGUGAAAUCCUGUAAUCCUCCGGGGACCACCGGUGGCGAAGGCGUCCUACCAGAACAGGUCCGACGGUGAGGGACGAAAGCUAGGGGCACGAACCGGAUUAGAUACCCGGGUAGUCCUAGCCGUAAACGAUGCCCGCUAGGUGUCACGACGGUCGUGAAUCGUCGUGGUGCCGCAGGGAAGCCGCGAAGCGGGCCACCUGGGAAGUACGGCCGCAAGGCUGAAACUUAAAGGAAUUGGCGGGGGAGCAC